rnacentral:lncRNA from 1 species
CCGGCCCCAGCCCCCGCCGGGUCAUCACCGUCCUCUGAUGCGGAAGACCCCGCACCAGGGGCCCGGCUCUGGUUCCGGAGCCGGAGCCGGCGCCGUGGCGGCAGCGGUAGCGCGACCUUGACGGAGGUAGCGGCGGGUCGGGGCCCUGCUGACCCACGGGUCACCAAUGGUGGCGCCAGCGUAGCCGUGCCCACUAUCCAGGUGUGGACUGUCUCCCGGAGGAUACGGCACCCGGCCCCUCCCUG